rnacentral:lncRNA from 1 species
CCACUCUCAACGUCCUGAAGAUGGUACUGAUAGAGGAAGGAUGUGUAGAGCAACACCACAGCACAGAGCAUCACCCAGCACAGAGCACCAUCAUAGCAGAGAACAGCACCACAGCACAGAGCAGCACCACAGCACAGAGCAUCACCACAGCACAGAGCAUCACCACAGCACAGAGCAGCACCACACACAGAGCAGCACCACAGCACAGAGCAUCACCACAGCACAGAGCACCAUCAUAGCACAGAGCAGCACCACAGCACAGAGCAACACAGAGCAUCACCCAGCACAGAGCACCAUCAUAGCACAGAGCAGCACCACAGCACAGAGCAGCACCACAGCACAGAGCACCAUCAUAGCACAGAGCAC